GGCCUCGUGGCCUAAUGGCAUGGCGUUAGAUUUCGGUCAUCAUACAAAACAUGACUUGCUCUCUAAAGAUUGUCGGUUCGAAUCCGGCCGAGGUCG